UACAGAGGGUGCAAGCGUUAAUCGGAAUCACUGGGCGUAAAGCGCACGUAGGCGGCUUGUUAAGUCAGGGGUGAAAUCCUGGAGCUCAACUCCAGAACUGCCUUUGAUACUGGCAAGCUUGGAGUCCGGGAGAGGUGAGUGGAACUCCGAGUGUAGAGGUGAAAUUCGUAGAUAUUCGGAAGAACACCAGUGGCGAAGGCGGCUCACUGGUCCGGUACUGACGCUGAUGUGCGAAAGCGUGGGGAGCAAACAGG
rnacentral:rRNA from 1 species